rnacentral:tRNA from 1 species
GCCGCCCGCACCCGGAAGCGUCUCCCAUGACCGCCUCUGACCGACCUCUCCACAGCCUGUAAACAAAAGGCCGUCGGUUCGAAUCCGACAGGCGGCCCCA